rnacentral:rRNA from 1 species
UGGGGAAUUUUGGGCAAUGGGCGAAAGCCUGACCCAGCAACGCCGCGUGAAGGAUGAAGUAUUUCGGUAUGUAAACUUCGUAAGAAUAGGAAGAAUAAAUGACGGUACUAUUUGUAAGGUCCGGCUAACUACGUGCCAGCAGCCGCGGUAAUACGUAGGGACCAAGCGUUGUUCGGAUUUACUGGGCGUAAAGGGCGCGUAGGCGGUGUGUCAAGUCAGUUGUGAAAUCUCCGAGCUUAACUCGGAACGGUCAACUGAUACUGUCACACUAGAGUACAGAAGGGGCAAUCGGAAUUCUUGGUGUAGCGGUGAAAUGCGUAGAUAUCAAGAGGAACACCUGAGGCGAAGGCGGGUUGCUGGGCUGAUACUGACGCUGAGGCGCGAAAGCUAGGGUAGCAAACGGGAUUAGAUACCCAGGUAGUCCCUGAGCGGGCUGGCAAGGCGCAU